GGGGAUUUAGUUCAGCAGCAUAAGCGCCUGCCUUGAAAGCAGGCAGUCGUGAGUUCAAUCCCCA
rfam:Cavia porcellus supercont2_26 genomic scaffold, whole genome shotgun sequence.